GAGCGAAGGGAGUACUACGGUACGAACUUAGCGGCGGACGGGUGAGUAACGCGUGGACAAUCUACCCUGUAGACUGGGAUAACACCUCGAAAGGGGUGCUAAUACCGGAUAAUGUCGAGAAGCGGCAUCGCUUUUCGAAGAAAGGAGAGAAUCCGCUAUAGGAGGAGUCCGCGUCCCAUUAGCUAGUUGGUGAGGGUAACGGCCCACCAAGGCGACGAUGGGUAGCCGGCCUGAGAGGGUGAACGGCCACACUGGAACUGAGACACGGUCCAGACUCCUACGGGAGGCAGCAGUGGGGAAUAUUGUGCAAUGGGGGAAACCCUGACACAGCGACGCCGCGUGAGUGAAGAAGGCCUUCGGGUCGUAAAGCUCAAUAGUAUGGGAAGAAAGAAAUGACGGUACCAUACGAAAGCCCCGGCUAACUACGUGCCAGCAGCCGCGGUAAUACGUAGGGGGCGAGCGUUGUCCGGAAUUACUGGGCGUAAAGAGCACGUAGGCGGCUAUAAAAGUCAGAUGUGAAAA
rnacentral:rRNA from 1 species